GAGGGAGGGGGAGUGUUCGGGGAGAGGGUUUCUACUAGCCCCCUAGUGCUUCAGCUUCGGUAGUGGAGAGUUGAGGAAUAAAAUAACAAAAGCAAAAAGGAGAUUAUAACACAACCAAAACCAAGGCAGCGUUUAACCCAGGUGGGUGGUGCAGAGGACUGGAGAAUUUACACAGGCGAGAAGGGCUUGAUUUCCAGAGCCGUGUCUGUGCUCAGUGCCGCGCAGUUGGCAGCCCGCGUCUUCCUUUCUUUUCCUCUCUCCGUUGACACGGGGAGCGCUGCUACGGAGCCAGCCUCCCCCGUCCGUCGCGCCCCCCUAAUGCAGACUCUCGCGUGUGCCAAAGCUUCUCAGCUGAGGACCCUAAAGCAUGCUGGAUGUCGCCCCACUUCUCAGACGCUGUAGGAUAAGUGCCAGCAGCCCCCCCCAGGUCGGGCAACCGUCACGGCCAUGGGCCCCACAGCCAUCACUAUUGAGGAGGUGCGGGCGCUGGAGGGCAAGGAGGAGCAGGAGGAGUCCAUCUUGGCCUUGCUGGGCAUAAUAGGGACCUUCCUCAACCUCUUCGUCAUUGUGUUCGUUUACAUCUACACCGUCCUGUGAGCCGAGCCGAGGGCCAGCCAUACUCAAAAUGGACAGGGCCCACAACGCCAACAAAGACUUUGUGGAUUUAAAAUUCUGACUUUCACUGACUUGGAUUCUGGUUCAUUUCUUUCAUUUUUUAAGCGUGUAUACAUAAAAGGGGAGGGGGUGGGUGGGUGGGUGGGCCUGAGACAUGAGCAAUUCUCCCACAAAGACAGUGAGUGUGGACAGUUUGGAGGAUGCAUCUCACAGCCAUGAACCAGGGAGAUAACAGUGGCCUGGCAGAGACACCAGGACCAUGGAUGUGUUGCCUCUGGAUCCCAGAGGGGCAGAGAGACACUAACCCAGCUACAGCCAGGGUUGACAUCCCUGGGACACAGGACCGCACAGGCUGGGGUGAGCUAACUCCACCUUGGACUCAUUGGAAUGAGGGAAACUGACAGUGUUACUGACAAUUUGCCCUUUCUAGUCAAAUGGAUUAGAAAAAGGGACGAAGGGACAUGGAUGUCACUGGCGUGGGCGAUUUCAGGGGCGAGGCACGGAGGAGGCAGUGAAUACACUGAACAUUGGGAAGCCGCCGCAGAGGAACUGAACGCCAUCAUGUCCAUUGGUGGUCACAUCCAACGAUGCCCUGGCCAGGUAGCUCUGGCGGCGCCGUUAUGUACCGCACCGCUUCCGCCAGAAAGGCCACGCGCACCAAAGCGUUAGUCACCGCUUCUAAACAACGAAACAUCUCUCCACUGGCAGUAUCUCACUUCCGCCCAAGAAGUGAUCUGCAAGACGACCAGCAGGAGUGACAAUGACAAGGACACAUUUCUAUUUAAACCGACCACUUGGUACUGGUGGAGAGGGGGACUUUUUCUAAGACCUGGUGGGUAAAACCUUCAGCAAAUAUGAAUACAUAAGGCCAGACUUCCACUUCUUCUAUGUGCAUCAUUAUUCCAUGUUUGGUUGUGGGGGGAGGGGCUGUUAUAGGGAUGACUGACAGUCCCUGUUGAUGUAGGCUCUAUGUUCAUGUUUAUUUCAGGGUAGUGUUAGCGAUCCUAUUUCUGUAUGAAUAAAUCAAAGCUUUUAUAACUAUAUGAAUAAACUCUAGAUGUACUGUGCAAUAGGACAAAUUUCAACAAUAAAAUGAGAAUAUAUGAAUUAGACUAAC